ACCUACCCGGUAGGGUAGGGUCCGGGUAGCUCGUAUUGAAAAUUGGGUAGGGUCCGGGUAUCAAAAUAAAGAACCGGUGAAAUCCGGUUCCGUUUCUGGUUCCAACAUACAAGGUACCCAAAAUCGAAACCGGAACCAAUAUCUGGAACCGAAUGGUAAUUUCUAAAGAAAAAGAAAAAAAGAAAAAGAAAGAGGUAAAGUCAGUCUCAGGAGUCAGGAAGACAGGAAGGAACACUGCUCAACUUCCGUCUCCAACUCUGUAACCUAAAUCGGCUUUCGUCUUCGAAUCUCCACUCCAGCUCCUCUCCGUCGCUCGCCAGCCUCGCUUCUUGUCUCCAAGUGUGCUCGUGAUCCCAUUUCCCGCUGUGAUCAUGGAACUCCAUGCAAGAUCUGUUUUUUGCUUCAAAUAAAUUCAUCUGCCGCCAACUUGUAACCUAUUUUGCACAUAGGGAGAGUUUGAGUUUCAUCGACCUCUUAAUGAUUGUCAGUAAGACGUCAGUAGGAGAGAAAUAAGAAUGCCAGUGACCUUGGAUGAUUUUGCAGUAUAAUUUAGUAGAACUGAAUUUGGAUUCAUUCAUUUCGGUUGAAUGUAACUCUGUGGGUGGCGGUGGGUUUGUGCUAUAGUUCAUUGUUCGAGGGCCAAGUUCUUCCUUUUUUACUUUUUGUGACAUCUUCACUGAUUGCCAAGAAUAUGUGAAUGAUUUAUAGUUCAUAAAACCAUCUGAUUCUGCUAUGAAGCUAUGGGUCGCUUAUUUUUGAAUAAAAAUAAUAGAGAUGAAGAGGAAACAAAGCAACGUACAAGGUAAAAUUUUUAGAAAAUUAACCAAAACUUUUAAAAUCCGCGAAUGAUAACAAAGAGCCCCCUGUUCUUAAACUCGUGCAAUUCAAUAUAGUACUACAACCAUCUUUAAAAAUUGAGCGCUCUGAGCUGGACGAGAAAAUAUAAAACCAGAUAGAACAAAGGAAGCAAGUUGUAAGUUACAGGAUCAAUGCCAACUCUACAGGUUGGGGCUAGCACAUCAUUUAGCCAUUCACAGGGAGUAGGAACUCCCAAAUUACCAACCCGCAUAAGAAUCCAACUGGGGCUCAAUUGCUGCCAUGAAUAAUUUUUGUGAUUUAUAAUUUUCGCUGACUGCCAUGAAUAUCUUCACUGCUUCAGGAUGGGUGUUUCCCUUAUCGAACCGGGCCAUACAAAUAUUUGAUGGUUCUUUUCCAUUUUGCUUGAACACUUUCUCGUUAUUCCAAUAUAGUAAUGUAUAAAUCUGGUUAUUAUG